rnacentral:rRNA from 1 species
AUUGAACGCUGGCGGCAUGCCUUACACAUGCAAGUCGAACGGCAGCACGGGAGCAAUCCUGGUGGCGAGUGGCGAACGGGUGAGUAAUACAUCGGAACGUGCCCAAUCGUGGGGGAUAACGCAGCGAAAGCUGUGCUAAUACCGCAUACGAUCUACGGAUGAAAGCAGGGGAUCGCAAGACCUUGCGCGAAUGGAGCGGCCGAUGGCAGAUUAGGUAGUUGGUGAGGUAAAGGCUCACCAAGCCGUCGAUCUGUAGCUGGUCUGAGAGGACGACCAGCCACACUGGGACUGAGACACGGCCCAGACUCCUACGGGAGGCAGCAGUGGGGAAUCUUGGACAAUGGGCGAAAGCCUGAUCCAGCCAUGCCGCGUGCAGGAUGAAGGCCUUCGGGUUGUAAACUGCUUUUGUACGGAACGAAACGGCCUUUUCUAAUAAAGAGGGCUAAUGACGGUACCGUAAGAAUAAGCACCGGCUAACUACGUGCCAGCAGCCGCGGUAAUACGUAGGGUGCAAGCGUUAAUCGGAAUUACUGGGCGUAAAGCGUGCGCAGGCGGUUAUGUAAGACAGUUGUGAAAUCCCCGGGCUCAACCUGGGAACUGCAUCUGUGACUGCAUAGCUAGAGUACGGUAGAGGGGGAUGGAAUUCCGCGUGUAGCAGUGAAAUGCGUAGAUAUGCGGAGGAACACCGAUGGCGAAGGCAAUCCCCUGGACCUGUACUGACGCUCAUGCACGAAAGCGUGGGGAGCAAACAGG